AGAAUGAUUUUUUUUUAAUUGAAGAAAAAUGUGAGUGAGAAAAUGAAGGUGAGUAUUAGAGGAGACAAAGGAGUAUGGAGAAUGGCGGGGAGGAAGAACAGGAAGGAGAGAUGCAGUGAAAUCCAAAGGAAGGAUGCACAGCAAGAGGUGAGGUUUGUUCCCGUGUCACCACUACAGAUUAAGGGAAGGAGUGGCUGAGAAAGGGACAUUGAAGACAGUAACAAAUGGAUUUCUGGUAACUUUCAGGCAAAACACUUUAUACUCUUGACAAACAAAAGUGCUAGAUUGUAGGAUCUAAGGAUGAGUCGGGGGAGCUGUGGAUACCACCGAUACCUGGAAAAUGUGUGUGAAUUAAUGAAAAGACACAGGAAAAGUAAAGAUCUGACAACCAAGACUGGAAAUGGCAUCUGCGAUUCAUAUUUAACCUGCGAGUGCUGCUGCUGUGAACCAUUUGCUGAGCAUUUCUUCUUGUAUGGAG
rnacentral:lncRNA from 1 species